CCUACGGGUGACAGCAGUGGGGAAUAUUGCACAAUGGGGGAAACCCUGAUGCAGCGACGCCGCGUGAGUGAAGAAGUAUUUCGGUAUGUAAAGCUCUAUCAGCUGGGAAGAAAAUGACGGUACCUGAUUAAGAAGCCCCGGCUACCUACGUGCCAGCAGCCGCGGUCAUCCGUAGGGGGCAAGCGUUAUCCGGAUAUACUGGGUGUAAAGGGAGCGUAGACGGCAGCACAAGUCUGGAGUGAAAUGCCGGGGCUUAACCCCGGAACUGCUUUGGAAACUGUGCAGCUAGAGUGCAGGAGAGGUAAGUGGAAUGCGUGGUGUAGCGGUGAAAUGCGUAGAUAUUAGGAGGAACACCAGUGGCGAAGGCGGCUUACUGGACUGUAACUGACGUUGAGGCUCGAAAGCGUGGGGAGCGAACAGGAUUAGAUACCCGUGUAGUG
rnacentral:rRNA from 1 species